GCGGAAGCACUGGCCUGGCCCUCGGCACAGACCAGCCCAGGAGCAGAUGAGCGGGGACGUCUGCGUCAUCCACACCUGGCCGUGCACCUACUAUGCGGAGCUCGAGAAGCGAUGGGUGCCAGGAAGACUGUCCUUGACGCCGCAGGCACUCAGAUUCAUGGCUGACAGCACGGGAGAGAUUCUUGUUGGCUUUCCCCUGGCCAGCGUCGCCGAGAUCAAGAAGGAGGCCUCACACUUCAUCUUCAGCUCCCUCACCAUCCUGGAGAAGGGUGGCGCCAAGCACUGGUUCGGCUCCCUGCGGCCAAGUCGGAAUGUGGUCUUCAGCAUCAUCGAGCACUUCUGGAGAGAGCUGUUGCUGUCGCAGCCUGGAGCCAUGGCCGGGGCACCCGCCCCCAGGACCCGGGGGGAGGAGCUCACGGCACUGAUGGCUGGCUCCCAGAGGCGCCUGGAGGACACCGCGAGAGUCCUUCACCACCAGGGCCAGCAGCUGGACGGCGUCAUGAGGGGCCUGGACAAGAUGGAGUCAGACCUGGAGGUGGCUGACAGAUUGCUGACGGAACUGGAAUCUCCUUCUUGGUGGCCCUUCAGCUCUAAGCUUUGGAAGACGCCUCCAGAAACAAAGCCCAGGGAAGGUGCCUUGGCGGCCAGUUGCGAACCUUUUGGAAAGGAAGGGAUAGUGAUCAAAAUUCCUGCUAUUAUUUCCCAAAGGACAGAGUCUCACGUCAAGCCAGGGAGGCUCACCGUCCUUGUCUCUGGGUUAGAAAUCCAUGACUCCGAUUCUUUGCUCAUGCACAGGUUUGAAAGAGAAGACGUGGAUGACAUUAAGGUCUAUUCACCCUAUGAAAUUAGCAUCCGCCAGCGGUUUAUCGGAAAGCCCGAUGUGGCUUAUCGCGUGAUAUCCGCCAAGCUGCCAGUGGUCAUCCCCAUUUUAGAAAUGCAGUUCAGCAAGAAGAUCGAGUUGUUGGAAGAUGCCUUGAUGCUCAGAAGCAUGAAAGCUUCUCCUGCUGCGAAGAAGAGCACCUCGGUCUGGCACUCAGCGUCCGGGCUGAUGGGCUGCACCGUGCACCGAGAGCCGCCCUCGGGGGACCAGGAGAGUGGGCCACCGCAGCUGCAGGUGAGCCAGCCGCUCUUCUCCGAGGGGGAAGCCAAGGAACUGGCCCAGUUGACAAGGACAGGGACUCAGAGAAGAGACUUGGCGCAGAUCCGUGUCCCCAGCCGGUGGACACCGGGGCGGCCUCCUCACGGGACCGGAGUGCGGGGCUGUGUGCGGCGGCGCUUUCCAGCGGAGCACCUCGGAUCGCAGCAGGAUGGGCGCAGACGAAGAGGAACCUGCCACCCCUGUGGAGGGCUGCAGUUUUCUUUCCUUUUCAUUACAGGGCUUGGGCACCAGCCAUGUGAGCUCAUGGGAGAGGGAGGUGGAAAAGACCUACUGUAUGAGGUCACCGGCCCCUCCCCCAGCCACUGACCCCACCGUAUACUUUCCAGAGCCCCAUCCAGUUUUCUAAGUCAUGACUCAACUGAUGGAGUUUCCAUCAGUUCCCGGAGGGUGAGACUCCGGCUCACACCAGGAGUUUAUUCAUCUGUCUCAUGACAAAGAUCACAGCGAGGACUCUGUGUUUGGAAAGAGCGACGUGGCUCUUCUCACCUCCCCUCGCUUUGCCGCGCCCUGGAGUGACCCCAGCCCCCACCCCGUCCACGGAGAGGGGUGGGCUCGGUCGGUGCGGGCUCCUCUGUGCAUGCGGCAGGGCCCACCCCGGCAAGGCCCUUUCCGGUUUUCACAGCUUGUUCGCAUUUGUGAUCUCAUGUGAGCCGCGCGUUCCCAUGGAGGAAGUUGGAUCUGACCGCCCUGCCCUCCCUCCUGGCCACCUCCGCCUUUGUCCUGUUUCUUGUUGCUCAGGCGUCGUCAGGAGGCUGCUGCCCUGCCUGCCACGGGGGAGCGCAGAGAGCCAGGGCGCCAAGCUUCCCGCUGUGCUCAGGGCCCUGCCCUCCACUCACCACUGCCCCUGCCGCAGGGGCCCGCCCGUGGGGACUCGGUACCCAGAGCGCCUCCUGUGGGUGAGUAUUUCAAGUUGUUAAACAAAUCCAGGCUCUGAGCAUGCAGGUGAACCAACGCUUCGCAGUGAGAUUCGGUCAUGGACCCGGCGGGAUCCUACAGAGGAUGAAGGGGCUGGCCCUGGACACCGAGACAGAGCUGGAGAGGCA